UACAGAGGUGGCAAGCGUUGUUCGGAAUUACUGGGCGUAAAGGGCGCGUAGGCGGCCUUCUAAGUCGGACGUGAAAGCCCCAGGCUUAACCUGGGAACUGCGUCCGAUACUGGGAGGCUUGGAUUCGGGAGAGGGAUGUGGAAUUCCAGGUGUAGCGGUGAGAUGCGUAGAUAUCUGGAGGAACACCGGUGGCGAAGGCGGCAUCCUGGACCGAGAUCGACGCUGAGGCGCGAAAGCUAGGGGAGCAAACGGG
rnacentral:rRNA from 1 species